UCAAUGUAUUUUUGAUAAUGUAACAGGAUGAACGGUCCUAAGGUUAGGGAUAAGCUAGCCUUAGUAAAACUGAACUAUAUGCGGGAAACUCCUCAAAAACUGUUCGAUACUCGUCUGUAACAUACAGGCAGUAAAAAUUCGACAGACAGGGGGACAAUCCGCAGGGAAGACCCGGAUGCACCGGGAACCCUCAGAGACUUUACGUUUAGGAAUGUCCGAUGAAGCUCGACGCUCAAUGGAUUACAGGUUUUGUGGACGGUGAAGGAUGUUUUCAUGUAUCUGUGAAUCCGCAUGAAGAUAUGAAAACAGGUUUUCAAGUUUUACCUGAAUUUACCGUAGUGCAACACAGACGCGAUGUGCAGGUUCUCCAUGCUCUGAAAGAAUAUUUCGGCUGCGGCGUGGUUCGGGUGAAUCACGGCGACCGGAUGGCUUACAGAGUCAGAGGAAAACAGCAUUUGUUGGAGCGCAUCGUUCCAUUUUUCGUCAAGCAUCCCCUGAAAACAGGAAAAUAUGUUGAUUUUAAGAAAUUCAGACGUAUUCUUCUGAAGAUGGGGAAGGAUGAACAUCUGACGGCAGAAGGGGUCGAAGAAAUUCGCACGAUUGCUGCUCAGAUGAACAGAGGAGGACAUUCAAGAUAAAGUCCGGCUUGUUUGGAAACAGAUGA
rnacentral:ncRNA from 1 species